ensembl:snRNA U6 U6 spliceosomal RNA
GUGCUUGCUUCAGUAGCAUAUAUACUAAAAUUGGAAUGAUACACAGAAGAUUAGCAUGACUCCUGUGCAAGGAAGGCAGGCAAAUUCAUGAAGCAUUCCAUAUUUUU